rnacentral:misc_RNA from 1 species
AUUGACAACAACUGGAUCUGAGCGCACUUUUCAAACCGCCUUCAAACCACCAACUUUUUUUUGUAAUUCUAUGUAGGGGCGGGCGCCCAAGGAGUGGGACAUGACCAUUCAUGCACUGUCGGCUGAAGCCCGUCGGUGGCUGAGUGGCGGUCUGUAGAUGCAGUGCAUACUCAGUGGAUUCUGUUGGGUUGUCAAGUAUUGUGGAUGACAUUGCUUUUGCCUGCAGCAGCAUUGGCUGAGCAAUUCUGUGUGCAAUAUCAUCUCUUAGAUGGUAGGUUGCAGAACUGUGGCUCAGGCUAUCACUUGAAGUGAUUGGAUGUGUGGUGAAUCAUGGCAACAAAAUGGUCAUGUGUAUGAACAUGUCAUGUGAACACAUCUGUGUGCAGUCCACAGUUGUGAA